rnacentral:rRNA from 1 species
GACGAACGCUGGCGGCGUGCCUAAUACAUGCAAGUCGAGCGGACCAAAGGGAGCUUGCUCCUGGAGGUUAGCGGCGGACGGGUGAGUAACACGUGGGCAACCUGCCUGUAAGACUGGGAUAACAUCGAGAAAUCGGUGCUAAUACCGGAUAAUAAAAAGAACUGCAUGGUUCUUUUUUGAAAGAUGGUUUCGGCUAUCACUUACAGAUGGGCCCGCGGCGCAUUAGCUAGUUGGUGGGGUAACGGCUCACCAAGGCGACGAUGCGUAGCCGACCUGAGAGGGUGAUCGGCCACACUGGGACUGAGACACGGCCCAGACUCCUACGGGAGGCAGCAGUAGGGAAUCUUCCGCAAUGGACGAAAGUCUGACGGAGCAACGCCGCGUGAGUGAUGAAGGUUUUCGGAUCGUAAAACUCUGUUGUUAGGGAAGAACAAGUGCCGUUCGAAAGGGCGGCACCUUGACGGUACCUAACGAGAAAGCCACGGCUAACUACGUGCCAGCAGCCGCGGU